CUCCAUCGACGAGUUCAGGAGAGGUUCUAAGGGAAAAAAGACAAAAAAAAUAAAUGAAAAAUGCAAAAAUAUGAAAGAACCGGUGUUUAAUUAGGAGAAAGUAGAAGUGGUAAAAACCCCUAACGUGGCGGAUCCGUAUUGGCUUAAAAAAAGAGUGUGAAAUCAGUUUCUCUUCUUCCUCCAUUCUCGAUCACUCCUGUCUCCUCUCUCGAAUCUCAUCUCAUCCUUCUGGGUUAGGCAAAAUCUCCUUCUGAAGCUAUGAUGAAGAUCAGAAGGGAAGAAGGCUUCAAGAGAAUGAUUGUUUCUGGAAAUCGAUGGUGGGAAUGAGCGUUCAACGGGAAGCCGACGAAGACGGCAAGAUCUCACGGGAAGAAGUUUCAGGUCACGGUGGAGAAGGAGACAUCAAGGAUUUUGUUGUAGAGCCUGAUUGGGAAGUUUUAUUGAAACUGAUUGGGAAGUUUUGUGAAUGUAAUGUCUUAUGUGUUGGACUUGUACAAAAGAAAAGCUACUUGUCCUUGGUGGAAAUGGGUUUGUGGGAUCACAUGUCUGUAAAGAAGCUUUAGAUUGCGGCUUAUCUGUCUCUAGCCUUACCAGAUCAGGUAGGUCGUCUGUACAAGAGUCAUGGGCUUCCAGAGUUACAUGGCAUCAAGGUACUUGUUGGAUCACCUCAAUAUAUCUUCUAAAACACUUCCAUCUUACUAUUUGGUUCUCGUGUAUUAGUUUUUGUUUGUCUUCUCAAAUACUUGUAAAAAUCUAAAACACUUCCAUCUUACCAAUUGCUUCAAUAUCAAAAAAAAAAAAAUUAAGAACCUCAUAGGGGUUCUCCCAUUGGACCUUUUCAAAACAAAUUACAAUAUUAAGGGUUCUAAACUAUUUAAAAUACACAAUUAAUAAUUAAAUUAAUUUUAAGAACCCAUUAAAGGUUCUAACCAAUGGAGAUGCUCUUAGUCUAUAAGUUUGGUCACGUUAAUCAGUUAUGGGUCCUAGAUAAUACCAAGAAAGAGAUAUGGUCAAAGUGUAACCUUUGUGUAACCACCCAAAUCUCGGCCCGGAAAAAUUUAGCCCAAAAAGAUCCAAUUACAUUGCAGAGCCCUGCCGGAACAUCACCGGAACAGCCACAAAUAGCCACCAUGAAAGAGAAGCCCUCCCUCCUUCCGAAAAGAGAGAGUAGAGCUCUGCAGACACGUUUUGGGGGAACAGAAUAACGAUCGAUCAAAUAUGAGUAUUUCGAAUCUAUAUUUUGAGAUCGGAUCCGCAAACAGUCAACUUCAUCAGCGUUUUACUGUUGAUACAGAAAGAACCAUGGAACGGGAGAGAUAUCAUUGGAAAGAUAUCGAUGCCAGCUUUUCAGAUCAUCUAUCCGAUCGUCAAAUCGACGUACGGUUAGAAAGUUAUUGACGUUUCUUCUUGGCGAAGAAUAAAGCUGUUGAGUUGCAGAGACAGUUCCGACCAGUCUCGGUGUAAGUGAGAAAGGGUCGACAGACACAAAAUCUUUCAGUCUGGAAAUUCGUCAGUAAGUAGUUAAUUAUCUUAUCUAUCAUCUCCUGAAAGCGGAUCGUUAUUCCGAGUUAUUUUCUGAGAGUUAUGCUUGUUUUCGUGAGAGGUGUUGGUGCAGUUUGCGUUUACGACCACCCUGGAGAUGAAGCUACUUUGGUUAAGCAAAUGGUGUCCGAUCGGAGUAAACUUGGUUUCUAUGGAUAGAGGACAUAUAGUACUACAUUAUGACCGGAGGGAUCUAAAAGUUAACGGUCAUUUCUUGAGUUAUUCAUCUGUUUGCUCUAUGGUUCAGCUCUGCCAGAAUAUCAUAUUGAUCUAAUUUCAGAGAGCUCCGGAGUUGCUUUGUUAGAGCCGUCAAGGUCCAUUCGGCGUUUCCUCAGGUUUCUUCAGAACCCGUGGCAAAGAUGAGACUGGCGAGGAGGAGUGAUUGCUAUCGGACUGGUGCUUUAGAAGUUUAUGUGAAUUAACGAGAAAAAAGCUUACAAAAGAUCUAUAGCAUGGCGCAAGGAAUACCGUCAAGUGUGGAUCCGAUAGGGCGGUCAGGUGCUGCAGUCAGGCGUGAAUCCCAGAAGGCAGAAUUUCUCAGGAAAGAGGAACUGAUGUAAAUGUUGGGUGGAAUGAUGGCCCUGAAUUCGACCAGGGUUACGAUUCUGAUGGUGAAAAUCGACGUGAGCGUAACGACUUCAACAUUGAGAAAGGAUUAGCUUCACACUUUGACAUUCUUGGUACCACGAUUUCGCCACACAAGCAUCUCUUUGGCACACCAACUACUCGUCCUCUUCGACGAACAUCUGAUCUCUCUGUCGAAGCUCCACUGGCAUUGCUCAUCUUUGAUUUUCACCGGCUGAAGAGCUUCUGGGUUCGUUUUUUUUAGGGUUCAUACAAUUGGGAGUUCUUAAAAACUGGAUUCGAACCGGGUUAACUUAUCAGAUCUCUGGUCGGGUUAAUUUCUGUCUUUUGGUUUGGUUACCUCUUCUGAACCACUAAAUUGAUGAAUAACCGAAUUCUAGUGUGGAAAU